rnacentral:rRNA from 1 species
GAGUUUGAUCAUGGCUCAAGAACGGAACGCUGGCGGCGUGGAUAAGACAUGCAAGUCGAACGCUUAUUCCUUGGUAGCAAUAUUGAGGAGUAGGAGUGGCGCAAGGGUGCGUAACACGUGGAUCAUCUGCCUGGAAGUUCGGAAUAAUUCGGCGAAAGCCGGACUAAUGCCGGAUGUGGAUGGAAGUCUAAAGUUGGGGACCGCAAGGCCUGACGCUUCCAGAUGAGUCCGCGGCCUAUCAGCUAGUUGGCGGGGUAACGGCCCACCAAGGCUAAGACGGGUAGCUGGUCUGAGAGGACGACCAGCCUCACUGGAACUGAGACACGGUCCAGACACCUACGGGUGGCAGCAGUCGAGAAUUUUUCUCAAUGGGGGAAACCCUGAAGGAGCGACGCCGCGUGGGGGAUGAAGGGCUUCGGCCCGUAAACCCCUGUCAUUUGCGAACAAACCUUGUCUGUUAACAGUAGGCAAGUUGAUUGUAGUGAAAGAGGAAGGGACGGCUAACUCUGUGCCAGCAGCCGCGGUAAUACAGAGGUCCCAAGCGUUGUUCGGAUUCACUGGGCGUAAAGGGUGCGCAGGUGGGUUUGCAAGUUCGAUGUGAAAGCCCCGAGCUUAACCCGGGAAUGGCAUUGGAUACUGCAGAUCUGGAGGAUCGGAGGGGGGACUGGAAUUCUUGGUGUAGCAGUGAAAUGCGUAGAUAUCAAGAGGAACACCAGUGGCGAAGGCGAGUCCCUGGACGAUACCUGACACUGAGGCACGAAAGCUAGGGGAGCAAACAGGAUUAGAUACCCUGGUAGUCCUAGCUGUAAACGGUGCGCAUUUGCUGUAAACGGAAUCGACCCCGUUUGUGGCGAAGCUAACGCGAUAAAUGCGCCGCCUGGGAAGUACGGUCGCAAGAUUAAAACUCAAAGAAAUUGACGGGGGCCUGCACAAGCGGUGGAGUAUGUGGCUUAAUUCGAUGCAACGCGAAGAACCUUACCUGGCCUUGACAUGCAAGUGGUAGAACCAUGAAAGUGGGACGAUCCCGCAAGGGAAGCUUGCACAGGUGCUGCAUGGCUG